AGGAGGUAGGGCAGCUCCCAAAGGGGAAGCAGCCCGCUGUUUCUGUGCAGUGUGGCACAGGAUGCAUGAUUUCUGGAGCCGGAUAGAUUUGGGUCUGCACUUGAUUGGCAGUAGCUGGUGGACAGCAGCCCAGGUAGAGAUGGCACUUACCAAAGGAGCCAGGAGACCUGCGUGACAGUGAAGACAACACAAGCCCCUCCAAGAACCCUCAGAACCCUUCAGACCUCAGCAGAGGACGAUAGUGAUGAAGAUGGCGAAUCUUGGAAAGGAACUGAGGGGCAAAGAAUGGGCUGGGCAUGGCUUUGUGCCCAACACCAUGUGUCCUGGUCUGAGCAUUCAGGCCAAAGCUUGAUUUGCAUUCAUGCUGCGUCCCUGGUUGGUGAAGCUGGACUUGCUUAUCGUCCUGAUGAGACUGGCAAAAGCUCCAGACGAAGAGUGACAAUGAACGGGAAAACACUGCAGAGGGCAGGGAUGGGAGGGGAAGGCUCGGGGGAAUUACCCAGGGGUUUCAUGUCAUGCAUUUGUCUGUUCAUCAUCUCCAUUUGGGCAACAACAACUUAAGAGGAGCAAGCAGAGAGGUUCACAUUAUUUUAGUGACCCCUGAAAAAACUCCCACAUCUCUGCUGGGAAAUGUGUGCUUCCCCUCCAUGCAGCAUUUGUUUUAAAUAUUUAGCUUCCCCACACAGUGGCAAGCUCAUUUACCCAUUUCCUCUCUCUUUCUCCUUCUCUCCUCUCUCUCUCUCUCUCUCCCUUUCUCUGUCUCUCUCCCUAAUGAAAUCACUUUAGUCAGCACAAAUUUGAAGGCAGAACCAAACCCAGUAAUAGCAUAUCUCAGGCUGCUAUCAAUUUUCCGCCAGAAGAACAUUUCAGGACACAAAGUCCUUUGUCUAUUUCCAGAAGCUCAAUUCAAUGACAUUACAUGAAUGACUACAACCCUAUAGCAUGUUCUGCACCGUUUCAAAUUGUAACCUAAAAAAAGGGAAUAACUUGGAUUGCGGCCAGAGUGUAAUGAUUUCAGUUCUUAAGAAAAUCCAGCAACCAUUACACCACAUUCAAUAUUUUCUUGCUGUGGAAAUUUAAGAAUUGACUCUAAUCAAAUAGCAAGCCCACCACCCCCAUCCUCCAUUUUCUUAUGGUUCCUGUUACUAACAGGCCUCCCACGUCUGUUUUGGCUUAAAAAAAUAAAUAAGUUUACAAUAUGUUUUUAAAAAUUGGGCUGAAUCAGACAAUUGUAUAUUUUAGAAAAUGAAGGCAAAAUGUAAAACAGGCUAAUCAUGAUUCCAAAUUCAAUAUUCAGGGCCCUAAUUGAUCCCAUCCCAAAGGUAACAUUCUAUCUUAAUUGACAUGCCGAGAUGGUUACAAUUAUGUAAAAUAAAACUGGGCCUGUUGGAAACUCCAUGUUUUCUCGUCGAACAGGAGAUGGCUAGCUUUUAUAAUAGUUGAUUGCAAAAGGAUGCGACCACUUUGCUCAUAUUUCCUAUUUUGGUUUGGCCCUUGUACAUGUGCAAUGAGGUCCCCCACCCUUCCAGUGAAGUAUGGACAUCAAGGGGGAUUUGAUGUCAUUAUAUUUUCCUUGGGGCUGAAGGAGGCCUGAUAGAAAGGGUCAACAUUUUCAAUGUCCAUUUUGGAAGUCAGUUAAAAAGAGAGAAUGGAAGAGAGAGAGGGGAUGAAAUCGAACAUUUUCCCAUUUGUUGGCAGAGGGAUAUGUCUGCGCGAUGGUGACCACACGCGCGAGCUCGUGCUCAGCCUUGAUAGGAAACAGAUGGCAGCGAGCAAGCACUGAGCAGGCGGAGAUUAUAGAAUGCCGGGCCCACGGGAUGGACCCACAGCCCUUCUGUCUCUCUGCCGAGGGCACCCCGACUGGGAGGCCAGGACUCCCUGGGGGCCAUACAGGAGGCUGAGGAAGACAGGAGACCUGUUUAUGCAAUCAGGAAAGGCAGAGGCUGCCUUCGAUGGGGUGGAACACCUGUGCCUCUUGGCAGCUUGCCUCCCUGGAUGGGUGAACCAAGGGAGCCCGGUGCGUGGUGGUUACUAUUAAUCACCCUCCUUCUGCCCAGCAGUGCCAGCCACAGGGGCAUCUUCCUCUCACACGCGGCGGCGGUGCUCACUCUCUACCUCCCGACAAGACAAUGUCAUUCUGUCAACAUCCACACUGGUCCUGAUUUAGUUUAGAGCGUCAGGUCUCUCCUGCACGGUGGCAGUGGCUUUUCUAACUGGCCUCUCUGCCUCCAAUCCUGCUGCCUCUAAUUCGCAAACCUGCCUAUGUGGCAGGUCUAAACCCUGCCAGGGCUCCCCAAGAACCUCAGAAAGGAGAACAACUGCUGUUACUUAUUUGUGUAAUUAUUUGUUUCAUGCCUCUUUGGCUGCCAGUUUACUCCUGGAUCCUUGGCAUCUAGCACAGUGCCAGGCCGUGUGUGUGGAGCCUUGGGGUAUUUUUGU